AUGACUUGAAAAAUUUUAACUUGUUUUGGUAUUGUGUGUUUCCUUGCUAUUUAAGUUUUUGGCAUAGAUAGUUACGUCAAAUUGGAGAGUUAAAAAUAGAGCAGCCUUGGGAAUUGAUUUGCAGCUUGCCAUACAUGUCUAAUAAAUGCAAUGUAUUAUAAUGAUUUUUAAAUGGGUGAAUCUUGACGCCAUGUCCCACCCACUGAAGAAAGAGAAAAUAUAUUAUGCUUUAUUUGUAUAUAAAUGAUUCUGAUU
rnacentral:lncRNA from 1 species